rnacentral:rRNA from 1 species
CCCUUAGAUGUUCUGGGCGGCCCGCGCACUACAAUGGCGCUUUCAGUGAGUUCCUAUGUUGAAUUUUCCUUGGUAUUCUUGGAAGCGGCGUCUUGACUUGGGAUAGAUCCUUGUAAUUGUUGGUUUUGAACGAGGAAUUCCUUGUAAUCGCGGUUGAUCAGCUCGCGUUGAAUACGUCCCUGCCCUUUGUACACACCGCCCGUCGCUCCUACCGAUGAAUCGUCCGGUGAAGUUCACAGAGUGGCGGUUCGUGGAGUUGCUCGCGAAGUGAAAUGGACCUCACGAUUUAGAGGAAGGAGAAGUCGUAACA